CCUACGGGAGGCAGCAGUGGGGAAUAUUGGACAAUGGGCGAAAGCCUGAUCCAGCCAUGCCGCGUGUGUGAAGAAGGCCUUCGGGUUGUAAAGCACUUUCAGUGGGGAAGAAAGCCUUGGGGCUAAUACCCUCGAGGAAGGACAUCACCCACAGAAGAAGCACCGGCUAACUCCGUGCCAGCAGCCGCGGUAAUACGGAGGGUGCGAGCGUUAAUCGGAAUUACUGGGCGUAAAGCGCGCGUAGGCGGUCUGAUAAGCCGGUUGUGAAAGCCCCGGGCUCAACCUGGGAACGGCAUCCGGAACUGUCAGGCUAGAGUGCAGGAGAGGAAGGUAGAAUUCCCGGUGUAGCGGUGAAAUGCGUAGAGAUCGGGAGGAAUACCAGUGGCGAAGGCGGCCUUCUGGACUGACACUGACGCUGAGGUGCGAAAGCGUGGGUAGCAAACAGGAUUAGAUACCCGGUAGUC
rnacentral:rRNA from 1 species